rnacentral:rRNA from 1 species
CUACGGGUCGCUGCAGUGAGGAAUUUUGCGCAAUGGGGGAAACCCUGACGCAGCAACGCCGCGUGAGCGAAGAAGGCCUUCGGGUCGUAAAGCUCUGUCAAGUGGGAAAAAAAUCUUUUGAUCAAUAGUCAAAAGACUUGAUGGUACCACUGGAGGAAGCACCGGCUAACUCCGUGCCAGCAGCCGCGGUAAUACGGAGGGUGCAAGCGUUGUUCGGAUUUACUGGGCGUAAAGAGCGUGUAGGCGGUUUAGCAAGUCAGAUGUGAAAGCCCUGGGCUCAACCCGGGAAGUGCAGUUGAAACUGCUUCACUCGAGUAUGGGAGAGGAGAUUGGAAUUCCUGGUGUAGAGGUGAAAUUCGUAGAUAUCAGGAGGAACACCCGUGGCGAAGGUGAUUCUCUGGACCAAUACUGACGCUGAGACGCGAAAGCGUGGGGAGCAAACAGGAUUAGAUACCCUUGUAGUC